GCGCCUGUAGUUCAAUGGUAGAACCAUAGCCUUCCAAGCUAUUAGUGUCGGUUCGAUUCCGAUCAGGCGCU
rnacentral:tRNA from 1 species